UACAGAGGGGGCAAGCGUUGUUCGGAAUUACUGGGCGUAAAGGGCUCGUAGGCGGCCAACUAAGUCGGAUGUGAAAUCCCCAGGCUCAACCUGGGAACUGCAUCCGAUACUGGAUGGCUUGAAUCCGGGAGAGGGAUGCAGAAUUCCAGGUGUAGCGGUGAAAUGCGUAGAUAUCUGGAGGAACACCGGUGGCGAAGGCGGCGUUCUGGACUGCAACUGACACUGAAAAACGAAAGCCAGGGGAGCAAACGGG
rnacentral:rRNA from 1 species